AUACCAUGAUGUGGACAAAUAACCAUCAUCCCUUUGAAUCUUUCCCAUGUUUCAUGUAGUGUCUCCAUUGGUCUCUGUUUGAAACUCAAAAUUUCAUCAAUUUGUUG
rnacentral:snoRNA from 1 species